GCUUUUAUGGUGUAGUGGUUAUCACGUGUGCUUCACAGAACGGCGUCGCACAAGGUCUCUGGUUCGAAACCGGAUAAAAGCU